GACGAACGCUGGCGGCGUGCUUAACACAUGCAAGUCGAACGGAAAGGCCCUGCUUGCAGGGUACUCGAGUGGCGAACGGGUGAGUAACACGUGGGUGAUCUGCCCUGCACUUCGGGAUAAGCUUGGGAAACUGGGUCUAGUACCGGAUAGGAACCAUCUUUAGUGUGGUGGUUGGAAAGUUUUUUCGGUGUAGGAUGAGCUCGCGGCCUAUCAGCUUGUUGGUGGGGUAAUGGCCUACCAAGGCGGCGACGGGUAGCCGGCCUGAGAGGGUGUACGGCCACAUUGGGACUGAGAUACGGCCCAGACUCCUACGGGAGGCAGCAAUGGGGAAUAUUGCACAAUGGGCGCAAGCCUGAUGCAGCGACGCCGCGUGGGGGAUGAAGGCCUUCGGGUUGUAAACUCCUUUCGCUAGGGACGAAGCUUUGUUGUGACGGUACCUAGAUAAGAAGCACCGGCUAACUACGUG
rnacentral:rRNA from 1 species